rnacentral:rRNA from 1 species
ACUCAAAUGAAUAGACGGGGGCCCGCACAAGCGGUGGAGCAUGUGGUUUAAUUCGACGCAACGCGAAGAACCUUACCCAGACUUGACAUGCAUCGGACCGGUGUGGAAACACACCUUUCCUUCGGGACUGAUGCACAGGUGCUGCAUGGCUGUCGUCAGCUCGUGUCGUGAGAUGUUGGGUUAAGUCCCGCAACGAGCGCAACCCUUGUCCCUAGUUGAUAUCAGGUUAUGCUGAUCACUCUAGGGAGACUGCCGGUGAUAAACCGGAGGAAGGUGGGGAUGACGUCAAGUCCUCAUGGCCCUUACGUCUGGGGCUACACACGUGCUACAAUGGCCGGUACAAAGGGUUCCAAUACCGCGAGGUGGAGGCAAUCUCAAAAAACCGGUCUCAGUUCGGAUUGCAGUCUGCAACUCGACUGCAUGAAGUCGGAAUCGCUAGUAAUCGCUGAUCAGCAGGCAGCGGUGAAUACGUUCCCGGGCCUUGUACACACCGCCCGU